rnacentral:lncRNA from 1 species
CUGGUUUUGAAAAUGGAGAAAAAGAGUGAGGAACUGAGAAACAUGGAUGGCCUUGGGAACGUGGAAAAGGGUCACUGAAAUGGGACGACAUGAACUCAAGGAGGCUAUUUAUGACCAUGUCAUUUGCAACAUGAAGAAAGCUUAUCUGGAGUGAAAGUAAAUGAGACCAACAGAGAUGAGAGACCCGGAGAAAUCCUGGUUACACUGCUUGAAUCCUACACAUACUAACAAAAGGCCACAUGAGGACACAGUGAGAAGCUGGAAGUCUACAACCCAGAAGAGAGCCCUCAACAGAACCUAACCAUGCUGGUACCCUGAUCUCAGACAUCCAGCCUCCAGAAGAGUGAAAAAAUAUAAUUCUUAUUUCUAAGCA